AUGCAGUGGAGAAUUUUGACCAGCAGUUCUCUGCCGCCCAGAAGCAGUCUGAGGCCAUUAAACACAUCCUGCCCCGGCAGCCCGUUGCUGCCUCCACACAGCCGCAGCCACCUCAUCCUGCUCGUCAUCGAGGGCGCCCCCCUGUGGUCUCCUCCACUCCCGCUCGGCCACAGCAGCAGCCUUCACCCCGGCCGCAGCGAGGAGAUGGCCGCAGAAGGGCAGCGCAGCCCAUCUCUGCCCCUAAACAUGCCAAGCAUCAGGCCAAGCAGCAUUCCUGAGACGGGCGACCCGGAGUUGGGGAUGUCAGCUCAUCAGGAGAUGGUAGCAGGACCACUCCUUCCCCCGGAGGAGGACCGGGGGAGAAUCCUUUGUUAUCAUUCUCUUUUUGUUCCGCCACUGGCCCCUUGGCCAGUGGUACCCAAACCUUCUUUAAAAGAGCUGUUUCCUCUACCUCCAGGUCCCAAGAGGCCACGCACGACAGCUGGCGACUUGCUUCCUCGCCGCUCUCGUUCCCCUCUCCCCUUGCCAGUUUCCACGCAGAGCCGGCGCGAGAACGCAUUGCCUUCUCAUGCCCUCUUUGCCACUCGGAAUCAGACGAGUGCUUGCACUCCGCCCCCGCUACGGGACGCUAUGCCUCCCAUGCCGGGGCUGUCUGUUCCGCCUCGCUGCCCCACUGUGGGUACGCCUGUAGUUGCCUUGACCCCGCUGGAUCGGUUUCUGGGAGCCUGGCUAGAGCUCCCAAAGCUGUCCCGCUGGAUCCGAAUGAUCAGGCUCGGCUACGCGAUUCAGUUCACCCGGCGUCCCCCCAGGUUUCCGGGUGUUCGCGCGACAAUGGUGGGCAAGAAUGCUCUUGUCAUGCGUGUGGAGGUCGCGACCCUGCUGGCAAAGGGUGCGAUAGAGCCGGUCCCUCCAGCCGACAUGAAGUCCGGCUUUUACAGCCCCUACUUCAUAGUACCCAAGAAAACAGGUGGGUUACGGCCAAUCCUGGACUUGCGUGCCUUGAACGGAGCUCUUCACAGACUUCCGUUCAAGAUGCUAACGCCCAAGCACAUUUUCAAAUGCAUUCCUCCAUUGGAUUGGUUUGCAGCAUUUGACCUGAAGGACGCGUACUUUCAUGUCUCCAUUCUUCCUCGACACAGACCGUUUCUUCGGUUUGCUUUCGAGGGGCAGGCAUAUCAGUACAAGGUUCUCCCAUUUGGGUUGGCCCUGUCUCCCCGUGUCUUUACAAAAGUCGCGGAGGGAGCCCUGGCUUCUCUCGGGGAACAAGGUGUCUGUAUCCUCAAUUACCUCGACGACUGGCUGAUUUUAGCUCACUCUCGGGCGCGGUUAUGCGAGCACAGGGAUCUGGUGCUCAGACACCUCACCCGUCUGGGUCUUCGGGUCAACUGGGAAAAGAGCAAACUCUCUCCUGUGCAGAGGAUCUCAGCUUACGAGAGUCAAUUCAAGGGCAAGAGAGCGGUUCCACUGAAACUGUUUCAGAGGCUCCUGGGGCAUAUGGCGUCCGCAGCGGCAGUAAUACCGCUCAGGUUGCUCCAUAUGAGACCGAUUCAGCACUGGCUUCAUGACCGAGUCCCGAGAUGGGCAUGGCAACAGGGCACGCUCCGAGUGACUGUCACUCCGGCCUGCCUCCGAACCUUCACCCCGUGGUUGGACCUCUCGUUUCUAUGGGCUGGCGUUCCCCUAGAACCAGUGUCCAGACAUGUUGUUGUGUCAACAGAUGCCUCUGCCACGGGCUGGGGUGCCAUGUGCAAUGGGCAUGCUGCAUCAGGUUCCUGGACAGGACCCCGACUUCAGUGGCAUGUCAAUUGCCUCGACUUGCUAGCAGUACGGCUUGCUCUGCACCGCUUCAGGGCCCUGCUGAAGGACAAGCACGUUCUGGUCCGUAUGGACAACACUGCGACCGUAGCGUACAUCAACCGUCAGGGCGGUCUACGCUCCCACCACAUGCUGCAACUCACCCGCCAUCUCCUCUUGUGGAGUCAGAAGCAUCUGAGGUCGCUUCCUGCCAUUCACAUUCCGGGCAGGCUCAAUCGUGCAGCCGACGAGCUUUCACGUCAGCAGUCUCGCCCCGGGGAAUGGAGACUCCACCCCCAGUCGGUUCAGCUGAUUUGGGAACACUUCAGAGACGCUCAGGUAGACCUGUUUGCCUCUCCAGAAAAUUCCCACUGCCAGUUGUUUUACUCCCUGACCGAGGGCACCCUUGGCAUGGACGCUCUGGCGCACAGCUGGCCGCUGGGCCUGCGAAAGUAUGCGUUUCCCCCAGUGAGCCUUCUUGCACAGAUGUUGUGCAAGAUCAGGGAGGACGAGGAGCAGGUCCUCAUGGUUACGCCGUUUUGGCCCGCCCGGACCUGGUUCCCCGAACUUGUACUCCUCGCGACAGCCCCUCCCUGGAAAAUACCUCUGAGGAAAGACCUUCUUUCUCAGAGAUGGGGCACCCUCUGGCACCCGUGUCCCGAUCUUUGGAACCUACAUGUGUGGGUUUUGGACGGGUCACAGAAGGUUUAG
ensembl:lncRNA